CAAUUCAGAAAAAAGCGCCUUUGAGAUCCUGCGUUCAGGUUCGAGCAUCGCGCAGCGAUACGACAACGCGCAGCGUUGCCCGCAGGGUGAGGCCACAGGCCGAAUCAAUCCUGCACGACCCACCC
rnacentral:sRNA from 1 species